ACCGAAUAGAUACCCGGGUAGUCCACGCCCUAAACGAUGCGAACUGGAUGUUGGGUACAUUACGGUACUCAGUGUCGAAAGCUAAACGCGUUAAGUUCGCCGCCUGGGGAGUACGGUCGCAAGACUGAAACUCAAAGGAAUUGACGGGGGCCCGGCACAAGCGGUGGAGUAUGUGGUUUAAUUCGAUGCAACGCGAAGAACCUUACCUGGCCUUGACAUCUGUCGAAUCCUGCAGAGAUGCGGGAGUGCCGCAAGGAACGACAAGACAGGUGCUGCAUGGCUGUCGUCAGCUCGUGUCGUGAGAUGUUGGGUUAAGUCCCGCAACGAGCGCAACCC
rnacentral:rRNA from 1 species